CUGUUGUGCAAAUGUAAAUAGUGUUGUGAGAAAUGCACUAAAGCGACUGAGAAAAACUGUAACGUACAGUAAGAAGGUUUUUUCAUUCAGGGUCACUCUGAUAUUACCAAAUAUUUUACUUUAAACAAACGUUGCUAUUUUCACAAUAGUAAUUGAUCAUAACAGCACAUAUUACAUUUACUGUAUUAAAAAAUGUUUUCACAUCUUUACUUUUUCAGUCUUUUGCCCACCAUUGUAUUAAUUAGUGUUUUUGCAUGUCUGUAAAUUCAUCAUUUUAAACAAAUGUUGCUUUUUUUAUGUCUCAGGUUACUGUGAUGGAAAUAUUUAUAUUCCUGUCAUCACUAUCCUCUGUAUAGCCUUACUGCUUUCUAUUGCUGUAAAUGUGUACUUCAUUUGCAUGCAGAUAUUUAGAGAGCAGUGCCAGACAUUUUAUAACAAUUAUAUUGAUGUUUGCUUCAGCGGUAACACAACCAGCGAGCCUGAGGAAUCAGAUACAGAACAGGAUCAAGCUGACAUGCAGUACUCCGCGGUUAAUAUUUCCACUGAAAAUGAGGGGUGUGAGGUCCAAUCUGAAGAGAUCGGGGUAGACUGUGUGUAUUCUGCUGUCAAACACUGAAGAAAGAGUGAUCAGCACUUCUAUAUAAAAUAAGAUAAAAUAGCUUUCACCAUAUUGUUUAUUUCACAGAUAUAAGCCUGAUAAAGUUGCAUUUGACCAUUUUCACACCCAAUUUAUAUGUGCUGAAUUUAAACAAAGUCAUUAAGUUAAACAUACAUUUAAUUUGUUUGUUUAAAUGAAGCUCAUAUAAAAUGCUUGCAGCAAUUUCCAAUGGAACUAUUUUUUUCAGUAUAGGAGAAAUGAUACAUUAUUAUUAGACUGUGGGUGUGAAAAAUGGUCAAAUGCAACUUUAUCAGGCUCAGAGGCUUCUAGCUGUGAAAUAAACAAAAUGAAAUCUUACCCUAGCCACUUACCUAAAAAAAUGUGUAAAUCCAAUGAAUAUUAUUUUUCAGUGUAUUAACUCCUUAAUAAAAUGUUUAUACUGCUUAGAUUUAAAAUGGGUCGGAUAUGUUUUGUGGUCUGUGCCGACCUGUUUGUGGUCUGUGCCGACCUGUGCACCAACUAUAUUCACCCCAAUGGUAGGCUUAUUUACACUGUUUAAAUCAUUUUUUCUCCAUCUAG